rnacentral:rRNA from 1 species
UACGUAGGGGGCUAGCGUUAUCCAGAAUUACUGGGCGUAAAGAGCGCGCAGGCGGUCGUUCAAGUCGCGUGUGAAAGCCCCCGGCUCAACUGGGGAGGGUCACGCGAUACUGAUCGACUGGAAGGCAGGAGAGGGUAGUGGAAUUCCCGGUGUAGUGGUGAAAUGCGUAGAUAUCGGAAGGAACAUCAGUGGCGAAGGCGACUUCCUGGACCAAUACUGACGCUCAGGUGCGAAAGCGUGGGGAGCAAAGCAGG